UACGUAGGUGGCGAGCGUUAUCCGGAAUGAUUGGGCGUGAAGGGUGCGUAGGCGGCCUGCUAAGUCUGGAGUGAAAGGUACCGGCUCAACCGGUACAGGCUCUGGAAACUGGCGGGCUAGAGAGCAGGAGAGGGCGGUGGAACUCCAUGUGUAGCGGUAAAAUGCGUAGAUAUUAGGAGGAACACCAGUUGCGAAGGCGGCUCUCUGGACUGUAACUGACACUGAGGCACGAAAGCGUGGGGAGCAAACAGG
rnacentral:rRNA from 1 species